UACGGAGGGUGCGAGCGUUGUCCGGAAUCAUUGGGCGUAAAGGGCGCGUAGGUGGCCCGGUCAGUUCGUGGUGAAAGCGCGGGGCUCAACCCUGCGUCGGCCAUGAAUACUGCCGCGGCUGGAGCACUGUAGAGGCAGGCGGAAUUCCUGGUGUAGCGGUGAAAUGCGCAGAUAUCAGGAGGAACACCUAUUGCGAAGGCAGCUCGCUGGGACGUUACUGACGCUGAGACGCGAAAGCGUGGGGAGCGAACAGG
rnacentral:rRNA from 1 species